UUGUAUUAGGACUCUGGGUACUACUUUUCUGGAAGGGUGGUUCAGGUUUGGAGUGCAAAUGAAGUAUGGUCUGAGGAACACUGAAGGAGUGGAAGCCACACAGUCGCUGCAGUGUGGGCUGUGAAUUACAGCAUUUGAGGUGAUGCUGCACACCGAAGCCUUGCUGAUCUGCAGCCAUUAGCUACCACCAGCAAAAAGGAGAAGUAAAGAUAAUGAAUAAGCAAGCAGGAUAAAAAGAGGAGCUGCAGAGGAGUCCGCCUCAUUUCACCAGACUUCAUCCAAGGAGGAAUGCAGAAGGAGGCUUGUCGUGCUGCUGAGCCCAUCAAGCUCCCCAGCAAAGCAGAACUACAGACAGAAGUCUCUGGAGCAGAAACUUCAGGUGGACAAGAGCCAAUACGUGGAGCAGGUAUUGUUCUGACCCAGAGACCAUGGCUGUGAAGAUCAAGGAGAAGAAUGACUUAACACAGUGGGAUAGCUAGAAAUCACACAGCUGAGAUGACAAGAAGUCUUCAUGCCAGGACUAGGAAAAGAAAGGAAAGCUGAAGAAAGAAGGUGUGAGAUUGGCCCUGCAGUUGAAAUAAAAUGUCCUUGUAGCAGUCACUGUGCUACAUAAAUAGUAGAAAAGUCUCCUAGUAAAGAUUUCUGCUUAGAAGAAGGUGGAUGCAUCUCCAAGUUCCUUGCUGCUGGAGAUGAGAAGUCAACACAGCUGCAGCCAAAGGACAAAAUCACUCAAGAGAAUAUGAGUUAGUUUGUCUGCAGAUACCACAAGUGGAGACAAACAAGAAUCACAAGGACAAAUAAAAUCUACAGUUUUCACCUCAGGCCAAGUGCCUUAUGAACCCCAAAGGGCUGUUUUCUCCUAAGUAACGGCACAGCAAGGACUAUUGCUGUGCCCUACCCUUCAAUCUCCAUCUCUGCAGUCCUUGAUACACCACGGGACUAAAUGACCUGGGCAAGAAAAGGAACAAAGAGCAAAGCAGGCUCUAUAUAUGGUCACUGCUACAGACUCAUUGCUGGAGAAGACAUCACAAGAGAAACUACUUGGCAUUGAAACUGACCCUGAUUUAAUAACCAGAGCCAGAUUCACCACCAUCUACUAUACCUUAGAGAUAACUGCUGCUGCGCUGUCACAGGCAGAGAUAGUGAGAUCAUGCUGCUCUUC
rnacentral:lncRNA from 1 species